AUUAUUAGUAUUUACCAACAUCUGUGUUUCUCUGCUCCUUUUGGGCAUGCAGAAAGGAGGCUUCACUUCUCAGCCUCCUUGCCAUUGGGUAGGGUCAUAUGAAUAGCUCUGGACAAUGAAGCACACUUCAUUGUGAAUGGAAGUGAUGUGUGAAUUUCCUGGAUGUGGCUAUAGAAAGCCUAUGCAUGAUUUGCCAAUCUCUCCUGUUUUCUGCAAGGGUGACCAAUGACAUUCCAGAUGGUAGAGUCCCUGAGUGACACAGAACAACCCUCCCUGUUCACCAACCUGAGUUCUAGGUGCUGGAAAGUCCAAGAUCCAGACACCGUCAGAUCCCAUGAAUGAAUGAGAGAAUUGGACAAGACAGGCUUCAGUCACAGACACCCCAAGCAGACCAGGAUCCUUCCUAAGAGGAACACAAUUCCCCUCAUGGGUUGGGGUUUGGAUGUUUGGUUCAGGAAGAGCCUAGGACCUGGCUGCGGUCACCCAGGGCGCCCAGCACUCGACCCGAGAACAUUUCUGAAAGUAGCACUGCAGUUCCUCGAUAACUGAGCAGACUCCAAGGAGACAAGGAGAAAACAGAAAAUAAGAAAGGAGGUAACAAAGAGACCAUUCUAAAUUCAAAAAAGCAAUUUUAGAAUCAAAGUGAAUUCGGCUAUUGAAGCCAGAAACUACAGAAGUUCACACGGUGAGGUCUUGGCCUUAGCUCUUCAGCGAGCUGGGUUCCACGUCGGGGAAAUGAAGUUACCGUGAAAUCAAAGCCUCAGAGGGUGAAUCAAGGAGCCGGCAUGUAAGCACCUUGGUUAAGCCUGUGCCCAGAGGAAGGCCAAAGAACAGCAGACAACAGGAACCCCGCCUUCAGGAAGCCUUCAGCAGGAGCAGCAAAAAUCUGCUUCCUCUCCAACCCUAAGGUCACUGCAGGCUGACAAACCCUUCCCCCACGCCCUGCCACUUGAGCAGCUCAGCUCCCUGCAACCCAC